rnacentral:lncRNA from 1 species
GACCUACUGGGAAGGAAGGGCCGUGCUUUUGUUCACAGCCAACGUUUAUUGACAAGAUGCGACCUUUAACCGUUUGAUACUCCUGACGAGGCUGCACAGUGCUCAUUCCUGGAGAAUUCCCCCCAAAACUGGAGAGAUUGCCACAGACAGAAAGGUCUCGGGUGGGGCCUCUUCCUAACAAGCCUCCUAACGAUAUUAACACUGCUGCCAUGGAGGAGAAGUUAGUGGCUGGACACACUGAAAGACACCAUUUAAAACUGCAAAGCAAGAUUUCUCUGUAAGAUUGCAUGGAAAGGCUCUCUGUAAUGAGACACUGAAAACUCAGCGAGACCCUGACUGGAAUAUUAAAAAGAGGCCCUCCUCACUGUGUUUGACUCAUUGCUACUGUUACUGGAAAGAGGCCCGAAUUCAGACCCCAAAACAGGGCUCUUGGAUCUCGUGCAAGAAAAAAUUGGGGGUAAGUCCACAGAGUAAAGUAAAAGCAAUUAUUAAGAAAGUAAAGGAAUAAAAGAAUGUCUACUCCAUAGGCAGAGCAGUGCCUUGAGCUGCUGGACUAAGGAUAUUUAUGAAACAGUCAGGUGGGAGGGGCUCCCUAGAGAAACUCCAACCAGGUUGCCCACUGGUGGGCUCCGAGGUGGAUGGAGCCUGGGGAAGUUCACAAGUUUGCAGCAGGGAGGAGCCUGGCUCCUCCUCUUCCUGUGUGAAACCUGGGAUUCAAGCUGCAGGCGGGAAG